CAUAGUACCAUGAGGGAAAGGUGAAAAGCACCCCGGGAGGGGAAUGAAAGAGAACCUGAAACCGUAUGUUUACAAGCAGUCGGAGACCGCUUAAUAAUAAGGUCGACGGCGUGCCUAUUGAAGAAUGAACCGGCGAGUUACGAAGCCUGGCAAGGUUAAGCAGGAAAUGCGGAGCCGAAGCGAAAGCGAGUCUUAAGAGGGCGCAAGUCAGGAAGCGUAGACCCGAAACCACAGUGAUCUACCCAUGUCCAGGUUGAAACACAGGUAAAAAUGUGUGGAGGACCGAACCUAUAUCCGUUGAAAAGGGUUAGGAUGAGGUGUGGGUAGGGGUGAAAUUCCAAUCGAACGUGGAGAUAGCUGGUUCUCCCCGAAAUAGCUUUAGGGCUAGCCUCAGGGAAAAGAUUGCAGGCGGUAGAGCACUGAUCAGGAGAGGGACCUACCCGGUUACCAAACCCAGUCAAACUCCGAAUGGCUGCAAUCAUACCUGGGAGUCAGACUGCGACUAAUAAGGGCCGUAGUCAAAAGGGAAACAGCCCAGACCAUCAGCUAAGGUCCCCAAUGCCGUGCUAAGUGGCGAAGGAUGUGGCAUUUCAUAAACAACCAGGAUGUUGGCUCAGAAGCAGCCACCAUUUAAAGAGUGCGUAAUAGCUCACUGGUCGAGAGACGCUGCGCCGAAAAUGUCCGGGGCUCAAGCACGGAACCGAAGCUAUGGCAUGAUAGCAAUAUCAUGGGUAGGGGAGCGUUCUUAUAAGGAAGAAGCAUGACCGGAAGGACAUGUGGACGAAUAAGAAGUGAGAAUGCCGGUAUGAGUAUCGAAAAGAAAGGUGAGAAUCCUUUCCACCGAAAGCCCGAGGGUUCCUGAGCAACGAUCGUCGACUCAGGGUAAGUCGGGACCUAAGCCGAGGCGAGAAGCGUAGGCGAUGGACAACAGGUUGAAAUUCCUGUACCGGAUCAAGUCGAUCGAGCGAAGGAGCGACGCAGGAGGGCACAUGAUCGCGCGGCUGGAAGAGCGCGUCCAAGUGCGUAUGUUGCUGCAGAGGCAAAUCCCUGCAGCAGAAAGCAGAGACAUGAUGGGGAGUUAAAGGAAACUUUGACGAACUCAUGGAUCCCACACUGCCAAGAAAAACUUCUAGCGAGACAAGAUCCGCCCGUACCGUAAACCGACACAGGUAGGCGGGGAGAGAAUCCUAAGGUGCGCGGGAAAACCCUCGUUAAGGAACUCGGCAAAUUGCAUCCGUAACCUAGGGAGAAGGAUGGCCCCCGGUCAGUGAAGAGCAGAAACGCUCAGAGCUAAAAGGGGCGGCAGAAAAGAGGCCCAAGCAACUGUUUACCAAAAACACAGGUGCCUGCGAAAGCGAAAGCUGAAGUAUAGGUGCUGACGCCUGCCCGGUGCCGGAAGGUUAAGGAGAGAAGUUAGCAAAAGCGAAGCAUCGAACUGAAGCCCCGGUGAACGGCGGCCGUAACUAUAACGGUCCUAAGGUAGCGAAAUUCCUUGUCGGGUAAGUUCCGACCCGCAUGAAAGGCGUAAUGAUUUGGGCACUGUCUCAACGAGGGGCCCGGUGAAAUUGAAAUACCUGUGAAGAUGCAGGUUACCCGCGACUGGACAGAAAGACCCCAUGGAGCUUCACUGCAGCUUGAGAUUGAAUCCCGGUGACAGAUGCACAGGAUAGGUGGGAGGCGCCGAAGCAUUGCCCUAGGGCGGUGCGGAGCCGAUGUUGGGAUACCACCCUUCUGUUGCUGAGAUUCUAACGCGAGGAGUAACGACCCUGCGGACCCUCUCAGGCAGGCGGUUUGACUGGGGCGGUCGCCUCCGAAAGAGUAACGGAGGCGCC
rnacentral:rRNA from 1 species